ACCAAGGUGGCCGAGUGGUUAAGGCGUUGGACUUAAGUUCCAAUGGACAGCAGUCCUCGUGGGUUCGAACCCCACCCUUGGUA
rnacentral:tRNA from 1 species